UUCUUUGGGGUAGGUGCAAUUCCUAAUCGGCAGUAAAGUCUGCGAGCAUUAGUUUGCUGAUUCGGUGAAAUUCCGAAACCGACGGUACAGUCCGGAUGGAAAAAGA
rnacentral:ncRNA from 1 species